rnacentral:rRNA from 1 species
GGGGAGGCUAAUACUGCAGUCGAGCGAGCUUGCCUAGAUGAUUUUAGUGCUUGCACUAAAUGAAACUAGAUACAAGCGCGUGGCGGACGGGUGAGUAACACGUGGGUAACCUGCCCAAGAGACUGGGAUAACACCUGGAAACAGAUGCUAAUACCGGAUAACAACACUAGACGCAUGUCUAGAGUUUGAAAGAUGGUUCUGCUAUCACUCUUGGAUGGACCUGCGGUGCAUUAGCUAGUUGGUAAGGUAACGGCUCACCAAGGCAAUGAUGCAUAGCCGAGUUGAGAGACUGAUCGGCCACAUUGGGACUGAGACACGGCCCAAACUCCUACGGGAGGCAGCAGUAGGGAAUCUUCCACAAUGGACGAAAGUCUGAUGGAGCAACGCCGCGUGAGUGAAGAAGGGUUUCGGCUCGUAAAGCUCUGUUGGUAGUGAAGAAAGAUAGAGGUAGUAACUGGCCUUUAUUUGACGGUAAUUACUUAGAAAGUCACGGCUAACUACGUGCCAGCAGCCGCGGUAAUACGUGGGUGGCAAGCGUUGUCCGGAUUUAUUGGGCGUAAAGCGAGUGCAGGCGGUUCAAUAAGCCUGAUGUGAAAGCCUUCGGCUCAACCGGAGAAUUGCAUCAGAAACUGUUGAACUUGAGUGCAGAAGAGGAGAGUGGAACUCCAUGUGUAGCGGUGGAAUGCGUAGAUAUAUGGAAGAACACCAGUGGCGAAGGCGGCUCUCUGGUCUGCAACUGACGCUGAGGCU